rnacentral:lncRNA from 1 species
CUCGCCUUCAUACAGUACAUUUAAAGUAGCAGUAACCUCUUUUUCCUCCCCCCGCAGCCUGGCUGGAAACAUUAGAAGGGACUGAGGCAGCGAGAUGUCUAAAAUAGGAAGACGCCGGGACGGUUGGCCUGGCUGCCCGUGAUGCUGGCUGCGGGGAUCUGGCCCGGCUGUGCAGAUGGAAAAGCUAAGAGCUUCGUAAAGGAAGCGUGGGAGAACAUGGGCCCAUUUUACAGAUGAGGAAACUGAGGCUCCAAAAGAAAGGACUCAACUUGAGGGUCUACAUGGAGGCUCAGGAUGCACCCUUCACUCGGCUGGCUGUACCCCCAGAAACUGCUGAGAGCAGAAGUAGUGGGAAGAAGAUCUGGACCCCAACUCUGGCUGUGCCUCCAGGCAGUGCUGUGACCUAGGGAGAGGGUCUUGCUUCCCUGGGCCUCACUUUCUUCACCAGUCAAGGUACAGACUUGGAUGACCCUGACAGUUCCCACCUCCCAAUCCAUUUCCCUCUUGUUAUGAAUUAGACAUGUUUAAGUACAACCAGAGCUCCUACCCUCCAGGGAUUAAUCGUGUUGAACAUCGGGCACUAGGCUCUGCUUCCCUCCCUUUGUGAUAAGAGACCCAUCUACUUAGUGGCUGCGUAACAUUCCACCCUUUGGCUGUGUCACACCUGCUUUGAGCCAAUCCCCUAUUGAUGGACACCUAGGUUGCUGCCAGUAGUCAUGAUGACAAGCAACGCUGCAAGGACUAUCUUGACUGUACUUCUGUGCGCAUCUGUCUACUGAUCUCCUUAGGGGAAAACCCUAGACAUCAACUUGCUGGGUCAAAAGGCGCCUGUGUUUGCAAAAUUCCCAGUGUGGCGG